UACGUAGGCAGCAAGCGUUGUUCGGAGUUACUGGGCGUAAAGGGUGCGUAGGCGGUCGGGUAAGUCUGGCGUGAAAUCUCCAAGCCUAACUUGGAAACUGCGUUGGAUACUAUCCGGCUCGAGGAAUGGAGGGGAGACUGGAAUACUUGGUGUAGCAGUGAAAUGCGUAGAUAUCAAGUGGAACACCAGUGGCGAAGGCGAGUCUCUGGACAUUUCCUGACGCUGAGGCACGAAAGCCAGGGGAGCAAACGGG
rnacentral:rRNA from 1 species